rnacentral:rRNA from 1 species
GACGAACGCUGGCGGCGUGCCUAAUACAUGCAAGUAGAACGCUGAAGCGAGGAGCUUACUCUUCUUGGAUGAGUUGCGAACGGGUGAGUAACGCGUAGGUAACCUGCCUUGUAGCGGGGGAUAACUAUUGGAAACGAUAGCUAAUACCGCAUAACAAUGUAUGACACAUGUCAUGUAUGUGAAAGGGGCAAUUGCUCCACUACAAGAUGGACCUUCGUUGUAUUAGCUAGUAGGUGAGGUAAUGGCUCACCUAGGCGACGAUACAUAGCCGCCCUGAGAGGGUGAUCGGCCAGCCUGGGAGGGAGACCCGGCCCAGACGCCUAGGGGAGGCAGCAGUAGGGAAACUUCGGCAAUGGGGGCAAAACUGAGCGCGCAACGCGGCGUGCGUGAAGAAGGUUUUCGGAUCGUAAAGCACGGUUGUAAGUCAAGAAAGGGUGUGCGAGUGGAAAGUUCACAGUGUGACGGUAGCGUACCAGAAAGGGACGGCUAACUACGUG